CUAUGGCUUAAUCCCCCAAGGACUGCAAAAUGUGAGGCACGCUUCGAGAGACUUUGCUGCCUCCUUCUCGGCAAUUCGUCGUGCUCCUUUGCGAACUCCCGGAAUAUAUGUGACGGCCAGCUGGCAUUUCAGCCCUUGGGGCAUCCCGGUUAAGCCGGCGCAGCGUAUAAGUCGCAAGUCAUGCCUGCCGAGGACUCGUUCUUUUGUUUGUGUGUGUUCCCAUUCGUCGGCGACGCCUGGACCACGCCUGGACCAUGAACUGUGGAGGAGCAACUCCGACCAUGGCUGUUAACGGAGGACCUUCGCGGCAACCCUUCACGGCGAGCGUCGUCACGGCGAGCUUCCAGACGUCGAGCGUCGUCAGCGCUCACGAGCUAAGUCCUAUAGAUGGUCCCCAAGCUGGCGAGGGUGGCGCACGCCUUAGCGAAGUUAACUGUUGAGUUCCACUAGUUAGCGCUCGCUGGGAUUGUAUAGCUACAUUUGAAAGUUACGUAAAGUUUUGUUGCUUAACUGCAAGCCCGAGGAGUUUCGUGGGCAUGGCUGCGACCACAUGGGUCUCCCCCGUGCCGGAAUCGAAGAGGACGGCCACCGUGUUCGGGGUGGCGGCGUGUGUAGCUUCAGGCUUAGCUGACACACAGCUUAGCUCACACUAGGCAGGCUAGCUGAUAGCGUCCUCUUUUCGACUGCGGCAAGGACAUGGACCCGUUCCGAAUUGCACUGCGACCCGACCACUAUUUCGGGACAAGGUAGCCCGGGCGCGUCAGUGCUACCGAGCGAAAUGUGGAAUCGGGGGAGCACUCGGAAUUACCUCGCCAGCUUUUAGCUACUAAUCCUGCUUAACGCAGCCCUCGACGCCGGACGUCGCCUUCGGCUCUCGUCGGAGCUCGGCCGGGCAGCAGCGACAAGCAUCACUCGCACCGCGGUCUACCGUGUUCCCUCGUUGGUGUGGUCUUGCUGGUAGGCGAGACCAGGGUCAUCACCCUGCACUACUACGGGAUCCCAACGUUUGCUUGAUUGCGGCCCACGAGUAGGAAGGAUAUCCAGUGUGCUGCUCCACGUUUGCCAUCCUCCCAACGUCCUCGCACGGGAGAUGGCCUUGAGCACCACUCGUACCGUGGCUGGCCGCGUGGGCUCCAUUGCCUUCUACCACCCAUGGCGCCCUGCUGGCAGACGGGACUUCCUUCGGAGCCCUGCUACUACUGAAUCUUGACCUCUGCUUUCGGUUGCGGCCCACGAUCGAGUAGGAUGUCCAGUGUGCUGCUCCACGUUAGCCAUCCUCCCGACGUCCCCACGGGAGAUGGCCCUGAGCACCACUGCGGCCCACCGCGCUCCAUCGCCGGUGUGCGGUCUCGCUGGCUGACGAGACUGCUCAUCGCCCUGCAUUACUACGUGAUCCCAACGUCUGCUUUCGAUUGCGCCCUGCGAGUAGGAAGGACAACAGUGUGCCGCUCCUUGCCAUCCCCCCAACGUCCUCCCCAGGAGAUGGCCUUGAGCACCACUCGCACCGUGGCAGACCAUGUUUGUUACAUUGCAUUCCCUCACCGAUGGCGUCCUGCAGGAAGACGGGACUUGUUCCUACUACUGUUGUUCGUUUUCAAUGGCGGUGCACGAAGACAAUCCAGGCAGUGUUUCCAAAAGACGAGAUCACAUUGAGCAGCAAUCGUCCCAUGGCUGUCCACCUGAGCAUAUUGGCCGACAACUGUGGACAUCGAAGUCUGAGCGGGGCCACAAACCGAGGACCUGCAAAGCAAGCCCUCGUCACAGCGAGCUUCUUUCUGCGCGACGAGCUUAAAUGCUCAUCAAGUAAGACAGAUGCCAGAUGUUCUCCAAGCUGGCGAGGAUGUCGCACGCUAUUGAGAAGUUGUCAGUUGAGUGUAGCUGUAUUCGAAAAUUACGCAAGUUUAGUUUAGGUUAUUAAUUGUAAGCCCGAAGUUUGUGGGCACUGCUGCGGCGACAUCGGGUCUUCUCCGUGACGGAAUCGAUGAGGACGGACCACGCCCGUGGUGGCGGCGGGUGUAGCUUCAGGCUUAGCGAAUUGCGGGUAGGCUUAGCUGACGCCCGGCAGGCUAUAGCUGACAGCCGUCCUCUUUCGAUUGCGCCAGGGACAUUAACCCGUUCUGCAUGUCCUUGCGACCCGACCACUAUUUCGUGACAGGGUAGCCCGGGCGCGUCAGUGCUAUCGAGCGAAAUGUGGAUUCGUGGAAGCAAACGACAUCCGGAAUCGCCUCGCCAGCUUUAGCUGCCGUGGCAUCGCACGUCGCCUUGGGUCUCCAGCGGAGCUCGGCCCUGCAGUAGCUAAUGUAAGUGGUCCAUUUCGUUGCAAUUGCAGCUGUUCGUUUUUGGCGUUUACGCUCCCCCCUUCGUUGCAGAGGAUGCCCUUGAGAACCACACGUCGAUGACCUUGAGACCAUGCUCGCUUCGCAUUCCCUCGCCGGUGGUCUUGCUGGUGGACGAUGCUUUGUUCCUCGCCCGGCACAACUCCUGGCAAGUACCUUGAACACUCGAAUCGUACUAUGGCCGUGUUCUCGAGUAUUUAAUAAGCCCCGCGUGCUUUCAGGUUCCGACCGUCUGCUUUCGACUGCGGCUAUUCCCAAGGAUAUCCGGCGCGCUUCUGCAGUCUAGUCUCCGGCCUACGCUACAGAGAUGCAUUUGAGCUCUACUCGUCCUACAUGGCCGGCUGUGUUACGUCUGCGUUUUCUCGCCUGUGGCUUCCUGCUGAGAGUGUCGUUCGGCUCAGUGCGGUAGUUCUGGCUAGAACCACGUACACUUCAAUCCUACCACGGAUGUGUUCUCGCGUGGUUUAUCAGCCCUGCGGCAUUUCAGAUUCCGAACGUCUGCUUUUGAAUUAAGCGUCGCAGAAGUUGUUCCAAUGACGGCUCUUGUUCGUUGCUGUCGGUUGCCUUUAAUAUGCAGGCUCUCGAGGUUUCGUUUAUGCUUGGGAAAGCUUCUUUCUCCACGCAUAUUUUCCAAAAGGCUCUUAAAUGACGCUCUCCACGGAAAACGAUGUCGCCUUUCCUCAGUUCCUGGUGACAUUUCUGAGCUUUCAUUUUCGAACCUCUAAAUGCUUUCGUGUAGUCGGAGGACCAUAUUUUUCAGGCUCCACGUGGUUUCCACAUUUAUUAAAGGCUGCCGUCCUAUUCAUCAGUCUCCUCCCAGUCUUGUUUCCGCCAGUCGGUUCCGAAGGAGUUGGCGUAUAGGCUCUCCAGGUUCAUCGUAAACCUAUGUUAGCGACUGGUUGUUCAUGAUAUCUAGUUCGUAUGUUAAGGUAUAUAUUUCUCCAAUAUGCGGUGCGUACACAUCGGCCAAUCGUUUUUCGCAGUUGACUUGAAACUAUGGAUUAGCCUUUCAGAGAAACCACCCCCCCACGGAGCGUUUUCCAGAUGAAAUCGUCACUUGGAGAUUGGUGACGAAAUCUCGAGCUGUUUCGCGAUGUAAUGUAGAGACCGCAUUGAAUUGUCAGCUUCAUGAAAGUCUUUCGUUGUCGUUGAGCGCGUUUCUUUUCGAGCCAAGAAGCGCCGAAAAGCUUGUAUAAAACUGAGCUGAAGCGUCUCAAGGUUUCCAAGUGUGCAGCUCUUGUCACGGCACAUGUGAAAAUUACUACGUAAAUUUUGAGUGUCAAUUUUUGUUGUAGUGGCUCCCAGAGCACCGGUGAAAUGUAGGCCAGCUGUUUCAAACGGUGCGGUCUUCGUCGCUCUAUCGGCAGGAAGAGGUACUUCCUGUUACAAUGGUCUGAAAUUGCACCGUCGCCACACAACGCACUGUCAUGUUACGUCUUUCACUUAUUUUCGUCCUCUGAUUACCCAAAAUCUGGUUCUUACGAGAGUCAGUGUCAGGCACUCAGCCGUGACAAGUUUGUCCAUAUACGUGUCGAAAUUGUGUCGACAGAUUUCUUCCAUGUAAUUGAUCUGGUGCUGCUCGUCUUGUCAUAUGGGCCCUACCGAAGGCGCCCUUCAAGUCUCAACAGGCCUCCUUUGUCUUAAAGCAUUUGGCAUUCGCGUAUGGUCUUGCUUGCUGAAUUUCUUCAAUUCUCUUGUAAUUUUGGUCUAGCGAAAUGAGACGUUUCGGCGGUAUUUCGUCUGCUUUUAGUGGACCGUUGAGCUUGUCUUCUAAUAUCGUUUACGCGACGAAACAUCCACGCAGUUACUCUCGAAAUAUACAAGUAACUGCCGAAUCUGUCAACUUCAACUCCUCGUCUUACGAUAAUGUCCGACGUAAAUGUAAGACGUGAUUCAUUGUCUGUCCUUUCAUUGUUAUCCGGCUCUUUGUAACACGGCUUUUUUUUUUUGUAGCACCUCUGAUUCCUUCCAAAAUUUUGAUGACGAAAUCUGUUAUACGGUGACACUUGUCAGAUCUGCUGUUUCUUCAUUACUGCUGGUGUAGCCCCCUUUUUUGCCAUUGAGUAAUCCAGCUCAUUUCUACGAGCAUGUUCAAUGGACGCUUCAGCGCAUUGUUUCUUUAUCCAAUGCAGCACCUUUGUAGCAGUGGUUCAAAACUUUAGUUUGUCAAUUUCUCGUUUUGGAUUGUUCUUGAUGCAGCUCCACAUAACAUUGUUGCUCGCAAGUUCUUUAUUUGCGAGACUGACAACGGUCUU
rnacentral:lncRNA from 1 species